UUGCGGCCGCGAUAGAAGUGUAAAUCCUUUUUUUCGAAGCAAAGCGGAGUAAAAAAGAUUGGAACGAAUAGCGCGAAAUGUC
rnacentral:sRNA from 1 species